rnacentral:lncRNA from 1 species
UGCAGUGCACAGCCCGAGGGCAGGAUGAAGCCUGCAAGGCCUGGGCACAGUCUAGGAUGCUGAUUGCCUGAUGAGACAACACUUUACUAACAUGCCGGGUCUGGGUUGCGCUGGUGGACAGUACAGGUGACCGAGAUGUCAGUAAUCCCUUGAUGCCUGCCCGGCAACUCCUAUCAAACAAGCAACCGUGACAGUAUGGACCUCC